GAUGAACGCUGGCGGCGUGCCUAAUACUUGCAAGUCGUACGGAAAGGCCCUUCGGGGUACUCGAGUGGCGGACGGCUGAGUAACGCGUGGGAACGUGCCCCAAAGUGAGGGAUAACGCACCGAAAGGUGUGCUAAUACCGCAUAUGGUCUUCGGAUUAAAGCUUCGGCGCUUUGGGAGCGGCCCGCGUACGAUUAGAUAGUUGGUGAGGUAGUGGCUCACCAAGUCGACGAUCGUUAGCUGGUCUGAGAGGAUGAUCAGCCAGACUGGGACUGAGACACGGCCCAGACUCCUACGGGAGGCAGCAGUAAGGAAUCUUCCACAAUGGGGGCAACCCUGAUGGAGCAACGCCGCGUGCAGGAUGAAGGUUUUCGGAUCGUAAACUGCUUUUAUAAGUGAAGAAAUGACGGUAACUUAUGAAUAAGGAUCGGCUAACUACGUGCCAGCCGCCGCGGUAA
rnacentral:rRNA from 1 species